UAGGUUAUCAGUUGGGUUUGC
rnacentral:piRNA from 1 species